rnacentral:misc_RNA from 1 species
GAUGAAGAACGCAGCGAAAUGCGAUAAGUAAUGCGAAUUGCAGAAUUCAGUGAAUCAUCGAAUCUUUGAACGCACAUUGCGCCCGCCAGUAUUCUGGCGGGCAUGCCUGUUCGAGCGUCAUUUCAACCAUCAAGCCCUGCUUGCGUUGGGGUCCUGCGGCUGCCCGCAGGCCCUGAAAACCAGUGGCGGGCUCGCUAGUCACACCGAGCGCAGUAAUACAUCUCGCUUUGGGCGUGCGGCGGGUUCUUGCCGUUAAACACCCCCUUUUUACCAAGGUUGACCUCGGAUCAGGUAGGAAUACCCGCUGAACUUAAGCAUAUCAAUAAGCGGAGGA